GUGCGCGCGGGCCGGGGAGGCCGGGCGGGAACGCGUCCCGGAGCCCCGCGUGGAGCCCCGACGGCCCCCGGGGUUCGCGUUGCCCGGCUUGGCUGGAGCGGGCUGGGAGCUGCGGGCACGGCCGCCCAGGUGCCUGGCGGGCCGGGAGGCGGGAGGAGCGGCUUGGCGCCCCGCGAUCAGUCGCGGAUGGCGUCCCCAGAGUGGACUUCCAGCGGGAGCGGGGGUGAAGGGGGCGCAGUGGAUCGACGGGGCCAGGAGAACUGUGUUACCCCUCUCCCACCUGUUGUGUAACCGAGCUCUCCCCAACCCUGGAGCGGAGGGGAAGAGCCCCGUAGUGUGUUGACCCCCGCUCCCCGACUGGCUGCUCCUUCUGUGCACGCCGAAGCAGAAAGGCCAUUUUGGUGAAGUCCUUGGCGCCUGGACUUGCCAUCUCAGGGACACCCUCAGGCCAGGGUGUUUCGGGGUGGGGGUGGGGUCGUAUGGUAAGGGAGACUAGAUGUCGAUCUCCGUGGGGGCCGUUUGGAUGAAGGACCUGAAAACCCCCAGCUCAGCAGUCUUUCCUGCCAGGCUCAUCAUCAUCCCCACCAUCACCCUCCUUCCUCCCCUACCCCACCCCCUAAAAAAGAAAAAAAAACAAAAACAAAAACCCUUCUCCGCGUCUCCACCCGCCUUGUUCCCAAAUCUGUCUCUAUCAUGUGAUUGCUCUUGCUCUGGUUCUGGGGAUGUGUAAGUGAUCACGCCUACCUUCUGGGGGCUUACGCCCAGCCUUGAGCGCCCCCUUCCCCUCACCCCUUUCCCCCCACCCCACCCUCACUCUUGCUUAGAUGGCUAAAGCACUGCAUUUUGCCCACCCCUCCCUUGAGACAUCGUCCCCAAGCUUUCAGUGGUAUAGGAAGAGACAGGGUUCUACUGGCUCCUGAAGAAGGUAAUAAGUGGAUUUUGCCCUCCCUGGUUGCUUCAGUGGAACUGGCCCACUUUCUCUUGCUGGGUCUCCCAGCCUAGGGUCCCAUGGGGGAGGCAGGUGGAACCAGGUUCCCCCUUCUGGACUCUAGAUGCCAUGGAACAAGGCUACAUGUCAGGGUUAACCUGGUUUGAAUGGUGGGGAGAGUGGACAAGUUGAUGCCUUGAACCCCAAAUUCUUGCCCUGGAGGCUUCUCAGUACUCAUUACCCAGCCUCUGACCUCUGUAUCCCCUUGGGUCCCCAUCAUUCCCCAUAGCUUUUUCUCCCCCAUCUUCUCCUCCUCCCCCUCCAUCCUUUUCCCUCCCCCCUCCCAAUCUGUUUUCCCUUCCUUUCCUCCCCCCAGCAGCUCUCCUUGUGAUGGUUCAUUCUGCUUUGGUUUUUCAACAUCAAAAGAGCAAAGCUGGAUCCCCUGGGUGUCAGUCCUGCGCCAAGCCCAGCCACUCCAUCUGCUCCUUCCCCUGCAGAGGCCAGCACCAUUGGGUGAAGGUCAGGGUCCACGGCUGCUGUGUGGCGUGUGUGCACGCAUGUGUUUGCCUGAAUGGGGGCACACAUCUGCUCAGAGCCCGGCUGCAGAUCAGCUCCUGACCCCAAAGGGAGGAUUAGUGACCUCCUCUUCACUGUGCGCUUGCAAAAAACAAUCAUAACAAUGCCUCAUAUUCACAUGCAGCUUAUGUUCCUGAAUAUUUCUGGCUCUUUGCAAAACCCAGUCCUUCUUUCCCUAUUUCCCAAGGCAUAGAAUCCUAUGAAAAGCUGUCUCUGGCUUUCUCUUCAUUGCCUUAAAGAAGCCUCCCCUGCCUGAUCAUCUGAUCAAUUCCAAGUUUCCCUGACAUCCUCCACUCUACCCCAACACCUGUCUCUCCACCCCCCCACCCCCAGCACAUAAACAACCUGGAGCAAAGCAGCAAAAUUGCUUUGAAAAUGUCCAACUAGAGGAAGGUGCAAUUGGAAAAGGGAAUUUGACUGAGGGCUUCUUUAUGGGGGGUGCCUGUUAAUCAGCCCUGACUCAGGCAGUCUGGCAUCUGAGCUGUCUACCCUUCUGCUGCUGCCUUGGCCUCUGGGCUCCUGGGGCAGCCUGGAUAGAGGGAAGGUGGGGGGCACUGGCUUGGCAGCAGUGUGAGGAGUCCUUUCCUCCUUCUUCCAAACAGCUUAUUGGAGAGCUGUAGAAUGAGGUUUCCUGGGGAGGUGCUGUGCAGUCAUGUUUGGGCUGUUAGCCAUGAAGUUUCCUCUUGACAAGAGCCUAAAUUAAAACAAAUACCCGAGCUGUCAUUUACCUGGCGGCAUGGUUUUAUGGCUCCCCGAGGAAAUUCCCAUGCCUCUCGGGAAGCCAUUUGGAUACAGGUCUCACAGUCUUGGGAUGGCAAGUCCCCACAAAAGCCAAAUCUAUCAGGAAUCAUAAAGCGGGUGUACACAGGGCACAGGGUGCCCAGGAUACUUCUCAGGGAUGUGAAAGACCUGGUGGCAGUGAUAGUAGCAUCUCCAAGGACCUGCCGUGUGCUAGGCACUGUGCUGGAUGCUCUCCAUCCAGUCUCUGCAAACCUCACAACUCUGCUAGACGGGUAGUCUUAUCUCUCUUUUACGGGAAAAGCGGCUGGCUAGGCUCAAAUCAUUACCCUAGGUCACAUGACUGAUAAGUGACAAAGCUAGGAUUCAGAUCCUACCCUAGGAUGUUGAGGAAGACUCUUGAGUGUCACCCAGAUAUGUCUGAACUUAUUCACAGUCUUGGAAUGGGGGACAUCUGUCACUCUGGUCCUCUGUCUCAGCGUUGUCCCCAAAAUGGUCCAGCAGGAUAAGGGGUCUCAGUGAUUCUGAGCCUCACUUGACUCUAUGUCUCUUGGAGGAACUGGAGACUGGUCCUGAAGCCAAGGCAGGGGUGUUUGAGGCUCUGUCUGAUUUCACUGAGGUUGGUGGUUCUCUAUGCCUAAGGUGCCAGCCCCUCCCUUCACACACUUCUUGCCUUUGGAAUUGUCAGCUCAUUCUUUCUGGCUUUAGCAUCUGUACACACUUCCAUGGCAGGUUGAUGGUCCCUUGAUAAGGGGUAGACAGCAGACUCCCUCUUUCCCCUAUAGUUGAAGUCCUGAAGGUCUGCAGUGAUGGCGUAAAGAGAUGGGUUGGCUCCCAGCUGCCCGUGUGGAUCUGGGACAGACUGGAGCAAGGUCUUGGCCUGUGGUCAGCUAGCGUGGUGGAUGAGGGUUCCUGCCACCCCACUCCCUGUCCCUGGACCAUUCAUUUUCCUACAUUCACGUCAUAGCAUCAGCUGUGCCUCUCAAUGCCUCGCCUAGAUUAUUUCCCUGAAGCUGGUGUGUUUCUCUCUGCACGAAGCUGUUGUCUUUCUCUCUGUAUGUGUUCUCUGCCUGUGUUCUUCAUUUUAUCUUCUCUCUUUCACCACUCCUUCCACUAAAUACUUACCACUUUCUCUUGGCUUCCUUCUGUACCAUGGGAUCAGGUUGGAUCAAAUUAAGUUCUAUAGAAUAAUAAAAAUGGGGGGUGCUCUGAAACUUUCUCUUGUCCCUCUGAGUGGAGAUGAAAAUCUUUCACUAUAUGUUCAGGAUUUCUUUAAGAGAGAACUGAGGACUAAUUUAAGGUACAUUUAAGGUAUCCCUUUGCCCUUCUAGCCUCUUUUUUGUCCCAGGAGAUUUAACUCUGGCCUUAAACAUGCUGACUCUAUGGAGCCAAGCAAAAGCCUCUAUUAUUGGGAUGUCAUAGAAGGCAGAGCAUGAUCAUCUGUUAUUAGAACCUGCCUUUCGGAGCGCACUUCUGUUACCUGAAACAGCAUUUCCAAGGGAAAUUUCUGUCUCUGGUGAUAUUUUUAUGCCCCUUACAGACUCGGUGCCCUGUCUAAUGGCCAGGAAACCAUUUGAGGCUAUGAGAAUACAAACCCAUCUCCAGAUGACCAUGAACCUGUCUCAGUUUCCCAUCAUGUUCCUAUGUUAGCUGCACCAAAGACCAAGCCACUGACCUGACAGUUGGUGUGGGCUUGAUCAGGGCAACUCUCUUACCCAGGCCCCAUCAGACUAACCCAGUGUGUGCCAGUGAACACCUGCAAAUGGAUGCUUUCUUGUCCCGUGGCUAAGCCCCAGUCAUUUAUUCCUAUCUGUCAUCACCAGCCCGUAAUUGACAUGACUGCUGGAGUCCCAUAGGUGGGCCUGGCAGAAGAAUUAAGUCUCCUACUCAGAGAAAUGUAGUUUUUCGUCAUUGUUGUGAUUGCUGGUGUUACUGUUCUUUAGAGAUAGGAAGGAGUGACAAGAACAUUUGUGAAGAAUCAGCUAGGUGGGUAGAAGAUGGGAGGAGAGUGGGUAGGAGGGAAAACUUGGGUUGAUCUCUGGGUCCGGGGGCGAUUCUGACACCUUUGUUAUGCACACUCCUCUUUAGAGUGAAGCUCUGAUGUCUCACGUGGGUGCAAUGGAGAUUAAUUGGUUAAUAUUUCUCGAAUGUUUUGAAGAGGAGGAGUGCUAUUGAACUGCUCAGCUGUCCAGCUCAUCCCAGCUUUUGUCACUGAGCAGAUCCACGAAAGGCUGCCUGAGGAGUUUGGAAGGGGCUGGGAAGGGUGCAAGGGGACGGGCAGGGGCAGAGUGUUGAACCAGGUUCUUCGCUGGUGCCUGGCCCAAGGCCUUGUGCCGUAGUAAGCCCACAGUAAGUUUUGGUUGCACGAGUGAGUAUGAGAGGGAAAAGAAGACUUCUGGGUUCUUGGCUCCUUUAACUCCUUACUCCAUCCGAAACCCCAGAAACCCAUUAGCUGGCCCAUUCACAAGUUUCUGGCCGUGUGGAUUUGGUAAUUGUAGUAGCUUGUAGUGGAGUCGGAGACCCCCAGGGGAGUCCCACGCAUUGCUGGGGCUUGUGACUACGUGAUUGGAAGCCUCGCCAUCAGCGUUGGUGCUGCAGCUGUUUGGCUCGGCUUGAGCCCUUUGGGGUAACAGGCAGCUUCGGGACAACCGCGUGUCAUCUCCACAUCAUCAGCUGCCUCGGCCAGGCCCCUGGCUCUGGUAGGCUGAGGUGAUCCAUGGGGCUUGGAGGACCCACCACAUUCUACCUACAGGGUCUUGGCACUUUCCACUGAGUACCAGGGAAGAGGCCUGCAGGCUCACUUCUCUCAGGGGCUGCAUAGAAGCAGCUGAUUUUUCUUUUGAUUUGUGGCCUUGGUCCGCCCUUGCUUGCAUUCCUUUGGGCAAGAUAUGGCCGGAUGGAGCAGUGGGAGGGAUAUGCCUGGGGGCAGUGGGAGCAUUCUGCUUGUCCCCGCAGCUGGGGGAGAACCUGAUCCUGUAAAUGGGGGAGAAGAAAGAAGUCAGGGCUCCAGGCAAAUGAUAGGAUGCACCUGGAUAGGAGGGUUGGGGAUAGAGGCCCAAGCCUACCCCUUGCCCAGGGCAUCUGGCACAGAGCCCGCUGAGAUGGGGCCAGCUGGACCCGUGACCCACUGCAGAUGGGGCCCCCAAAUCUUUUCCCCCAGGCUCAGACUUCAUUUGGGCCCCUCUUGGUUUUCUGCCCUUGCCCUUUAUUCCUGUCUUCUCUUCCUGCCGUUUCUUCCCUACCACACUGCUGGAUGAAAAACGAAUAUGGGUUUACUGGCCACAUAGAAACUGACAGGGUCAGCAUGGUCUUUGGGAGACAGGGUGGGCUCCGUGAUGACCUAAUUGGUCGCGUGCCCUUCCCCCUUUCCUCCACCCUCACCUCUGAGGUCUUCAUGCUCCUCAAGACCAGUGAUCCUCAACCUUUUUGGCACCCUGGGUGGGGAAGAUCCCCUGGAGGAGGGCAUGGCAACCCACUUCAGUAUUCUUGCCUGCACAGAGGAGCCUGGUGCGCUAUGGACCAUCACAAAGAGUCAGACACGACCGAAGCAACUUGAGCACGAACGUGAGCUGUGGGUGUACUCAGGACUGCUGGUGAAGAAUGUGACCAUAAUUACCUUCAAGGGAUUGAAGGGCUGAUCCUAUUAGUGUGCUGGGCUAACCCCUUCCUCCUGGGCAUUGCCUCCUGGCCAGCUGUGAGGGUUUAAUGGAUCAAGAUCAUGGAGACCGAAGAUGUUGUAUAAUUAAGCCUAGUUAUUUUCCGAGCUGGGGGUAGCCACUCCCCACAGCAGCAAUUGAUUUCCUCACUUGUGGUCACCCUAUUCAGUUGCAAGUUACCCUGGGCCUAAGCGGCAUACAGUCCGUAGUUUUGAGUGAAUGUCUCCCUUUGAAGGGGACUGCCUUGCGGACCCUGAUCCAAGUCAGACCCUCUGUUUCCCAAUCAAAAUGAUGAAGCCAUUGAUGGGUCAUCUGGUGGACUCUUAACCACUGGACCGCUGGAACUUUGGGUCCUGUCUUCACUCUCUGGAAAGGAUGGACGGGAUGCAAAUCUGAUGAGGAGCUGUUUCUUGCCUGAGGACCCAUGACGGCUGGUCAGCUGCCAUCACAGCCAGGCCCUUGCUGCAGACACCCGAGGAAACUCCCUCCCUGACCCUGAGACGCCACUCUCUAUCCAGUUGGCUGGUACUACACUCAAGCUGGGGGCUUCCCAGGUGGUGCCUGCCAUUGCAGGAGACAUAAGAGAUGCUGGUUCAAUCCCUGGGUUGGGAAGAUUCCCUGGAGAAGGCCAUGACAACCUACUCCAGUAUUCUUGCCUGGAGAAUCCCAUGGACAGAGGAGCCCAGCAUGCUACCGUCCAUUGGGUUGCAAAAAGUCAGACAUGACUGAAGCAACUUAGCACGCACACAUGUGCCCACCCACACUCAACCUGCUUCCAUCUACCUCUUCUCUGCCCAGCAUUCCUCAGUGGGGCAUUUUCUUCCCCAUCCAAUCCAAAUGCCUUCAAGAUAUUCCCCAUGCUGCGGGACACCUCGCACUAUCCAUUCAGAUUUGCCAGCAUCCCAGCACGCGCCCCCUGCUCUAGCCACUAAGACCCCUCACCAUUCCACAGCCAACCUCUGUGCUUAAGCCUCAGCCCUGGUUACCACCACCUCCAGGAAGCCCCUCUGCCUGAUUAUGCACUGGCCUCAGUGAGCAUCCCAGCUCAGAACCUGAACACUCCUUGCUCAGGCCAAGUCACUGAGCCCUUUUAUCUAUUGUUUCGUAGUGUUUACCAAUGUAGGCUUUGUGCCUGUUGUCAUUCCUUCUCUGCCAGACUGUAAACUCCUUAGAGGCAAGAAGAAUAACAAAGGCUGCCAUUUAUAGGGUGUCAGACAGUGGCCUUAAGCACUUGACAAACAAUGUCCCAUUUAAUCUUCAACCCCCCUGCAGAGUUCUCAACUAUUUUUAUCCAUUUUUUCCCCCAAGAUUCUGGAGAGGGUAAACAGUUUUCCUAAGGUCACCUGGCCUAGGAAGAGCUGAGCUGGGCUCUAAACCCAGGUCUGUGUGAUGCCCUGGCUUAUGCUCCUCACCAGAGAUUCUCAAAUGCCAGGGCCCUCAGCCUGAGAACCUGGGCUUGGCCGCUGGCAUCUGUGUGUUUGCACAGCUCCUCUGCACACCCAGUCUGAUUUGGGGACUGACUCUUAACCACUGCAUGCACCUCCCUUUUCAACACUCAGCAGUGCCCUGAGCACUUGAGAGCUUGGAAAUGCAUUAUAGGGGGUGAGGGGGUAUGAAGAGAAGGACGCUGUAGGGGGAGAUGCUCUAGGAGAAGGAUGUGUUGUUUUAAUAUAGGGGCCACCUAAGAGAAUCACGGGGCAGGGAGGAUGCAAGGAGGCAGUGGAGCUGAGCAGGGGGAAGACAGAUGGGGAGUUAGAAGAGGCUAUUGGAGGGACCUCCCUGGUGGUCCAGUGGUUAAGAAUUCACCUUGCAAUACAGGGGGUGUGGGUUCCAUCCCUGGUCAGGGAACUAAGACCCCACAUGGGAUCCCACAUGGUUGGAGCAACUAAGUUUGUGUGCUGCAGUAGAGAAAGACCAUGCACUGAAAUGAAGAGCCCAGACAGCCAAAAUUAAAGUAAAAUAAAAUGUCUCUUUUAAAAAAACAGAAAGAAAAGGCUAUUGGAGAGGUCAAACCAUCGACCCUGUCUCUGCCCCAGCCAUAAUUCAGGUUGACCCACUAAUCAGGUUGACCUCACCUUGACCCACUAAUCAGCUGGGGGCAUCUUGUAAGGAUGCAGAUCCUGGUACAGCAGGUUUGGAUAGGGCCUCCUGUUUGGCAUUUCUAACAAGCCCCCAGGUGAUGCCCAUUCAGUAGGAAGGCCCUGGACUCCUCAAGCCCUCCUGGAGGAUCUGAUUCCAUCACUCACUAGUCUACCAUCUUCUCGCCUCCCUUCUCCCUAGAGGGUAAAAUCUAAACUCCUUAGCACGCAUGGUGGGAGCCUUUUCAGACACUGUCUCCAGCCAUCUCUAGCCUCACCUCCUGCUCUCUUUAUCACACUCCCCACCCUGCAGCCCCACUGAAUUCUUCACAGCUCCCUAGACACACCACCAUCCCCAGUCAGAGCUGCCUGCUUUUUGCACAGGCUGUUACUUUGCCUGGAGGCAUGCGCUUUGGCCUUUCUCAGCCAGGUGAGGAUGAAGCUGAAGGUCACCUUCCUGGGAAGUUACAGACUGGGGAGUGGGCUCUAGACCCCUAGCUCUAAGAGAAGCCCCCUGGAGGUUCUUAGAACCCUUCUUGUCCCUGC